AGAAAAGGACACAUUAAAAUUGUUUAAUAAUUCCAAGACAAUGUAUUCUUCUGUUUUCAGGGGAAGUUUGGAGAAGUUCAGGUGACAAGUAAAAUUUGAGUAAUACCCAUGUGGCUGUGACUGAAAUCGGAGGGUUUUGCCUCCUACAAGGUAACUGAUUAGCAGUGCUCCAGCUACACUUCCUGAAAUGAAGUGUUACAGUGCAACUCAUGCCAAGACUGUGGCAUGGUUAUGGAAAAGGUUUAUGCAGCCAGAAUAUUGGUGAAACUCCUUUUGGACUCAACAGGCUACCUAGUGGCUUAACCUACUACUGAAGGUCAGGAGAAUACCAUUCAUCUUCCAAAAUGCCUGGACAUCACCAGCUGCACUUCUGGAGAUAUCCUGGAAAAUGAAACUGUGAGAACAUUCCAAGCAGUUCGGUGGGAUUAUUGUCUUUGACAAGAUUCUCUUGACAAUACACAAACCUUUGUGCACGUAUCACUGUAAUGCCCAAUAAAAAUCAAAAGUCCCCCUUGGGACUGUUUGCUUGCUGUCCAAAGUAUUUCAGAUGGGCUGGCAA
rnacentral:lncRNA from 1 species